CAUUAAGUAGCCCAGCUGGCAGCAUCAUCAAAAGGCACUUUAUGAGGUAAGGUUGGCUUUCAUGACAUCAGCACUGAGGAGCACUUGGAUUUAUAGAGAAUAGAGAGGAAGAGAAUGUCACAAUCCUGAUCACAAGGACAGAGGACCAGACAAUGGUGGUGGCCCCAGGACAACAGACUUUUGCAUAAUUCUACACUAACAAGCAGCUUUCUCUAGUGACUGGAAGGAGAGACAUCAUUGCCGCCCCCAGGAAUGGAGGGUGUGGAGGAGAUCUAGGUAACAACUGACGG
rnacentral:lncRNA from 1 species